UCUUGCUGUUUAUGAGUCUGGUGGUCCUGGCAUGGAUGCUGUGCAGCCUCCUCCUGAUGGGAGAGGGACAAACAGUUUGAGUUAAUCAGCUGUGAAUGACGGAGACUGAGUCAAUUACCAGACAGGUCUAGAGUAUAAAGACGAUGAAAUAGUAUAAUACUUCCAAUCAUUGUUUUCCAAAUCAGUACCCUGGUCCACAGUUUGGUGAAUGGGAAUUAAGAGAGUAGCUGAACACAUAGCUCACUAGCAAUACUAGAUCAUCACCACAAUAUCCCAUGUGACUUAUUAAGAAGCUAUCUUGUCCAGAUUAGCAUUAUCAUUGUGACGUUUAAAGCAGAUUUAUCACUUCCUGGAACAAGGGGAGGAAACAGAAGACUAGUCUCUUACAUUGUGAUUUAUUUUAGGUACCUAGUUUUAGGUACCUAAUAAAGUAGUCACUAGUGUAUACGUAUUUGUGGCCCUCCAUUACUGUAGCCUAUCCACUUCAAGGUUUGACAUGCUGUAAGUUCAGAGAUGCUCUUCCACACAGUACUAUUUUAAUAUGUGGUUAUCUGAGUUACUAUCACCUUCCUGUCAGCUAAACCCCUGGUCAGCCGUUCUCCUCUGACCUCUUAUUAACACAGCAUUUUACCCGCAGAAAUAACGCUCAUUGGAUUUUUGUUUUCCGCACCAUUCUCUGUAAACUCUAGAGACUGUUGUGCAUGAAAAUCCCAGGAAUUCAGCAGUUUCUGAGAUACUCAAACCACCCUGCCUGGCGCCAACCAUCAUUUCACAGUCAUAGUCACUAAAUCACACUUCUUCCCCAUUUUGACAUUUGGCUUGAAUAACAGGUGAACCUCUUAACCAUGUCUGCAUGCUUUUAUGUACUGAGUUGCUGCCACAUGAUUGGCUGAUUAGAUAUUUGAAUUAACAAGCAGUUGUAUAGGUGUACCUAAUAAAGCGGCCACUGUUUGUAUAUCCCGUCCCUCCAUCCUAUAAAUGAAAUCCCUGUAAAUCUCCCGCUAAUAAACAGAGGCAAUGGCUUCGGUACAUGAGUUGUAGGAAAUAUAUCCUGUUCUUUCAUUCUAUAUAUGAAAUCUCUGUAAAUCUCCCUCUAAUAGAAAGUGGCAACCCCUUCACGAGAUGAAUUCCAAGGAUUUUAUACAGUUAUCUCAGAAUGGCAAUAAAUUUUGAACUUGCAAUGUCUAUCUCCAGUUAUUGUUUUAUGGAAAUUAAACAACUGUAGUAUUAUUCAAAGCAGGAUUAAACAGGGAUUAGUUUAGUUUAGCCAGCAUAGUUCUUUGAGACUGAAAGUAUUCUAUUAGAAUUAAUAAUUGGCAUGGCUAUAAGAAUUUAAGCCACUCGGCUCUCCACAGACAUACACAGAGAAACUAAUUAUUCUCCAAAGACAAGGCAAGAAGAUAAAAGAUGAUUGAUUUCUCCUGAAGUGGGAUAUCCCCCUCUAGUGGCCCAACACACCAUUACAACUGGAAAAAGUGCUCUGUUUUUUCUGAUGCUGUGCAUUGGAACCUACAUUGCAGAUGGGGAUGCAACCGGUCACCAUGCUCUCCACAGUACAGCUACAGAAAUUUGCUAGAGUCUUUGGUGACAUACCGAAUCCCCUUAAACUCCUAAUGAAAUAUAGCGGCUAGCAUGUCUUCUUUGUGACUGCAUUGAUAUGUUGGGCCAGGAUGGCUCGCUAUGAUGCUGACACCCAGGAACUUGAAGUUGGUCACCCAUUCCACUGCUAACCCCUCAAUGAGGUCUGGUGUGUGUUCUCCCGACUUCCCCUUCCUGAAGUCCACAAUCAAUUCCUUGGUCUUACUGACAUCCAGUGAAAAUUUUCAACACCACUGAACCAGCCAAUCUAUCUCACACCUGGACAUCUCCUUGUCACUAUCUGAUUCUGCCAACAAGAGUUGUGUCCCUCACAAAUUUAUAGAUGGUGUAUAGUUCUGAUUCACAAAGCAAAUCAAAGAACGUAGAUCAUUUCAGUAUUGCACAGGAACAGGUCUUUCAGCCCAUGAUGUUGUGCCAAACUAAUUAAGAAACUAAUUCAGUGCCCAAUUAAACUAAUCCCUUCUGCCUGCACAUGACCCACUCAUUUCCAUGUCCUGCACAUUAACAUUGCUAUACAAGAGCCUCUUAAAUUCUUCCUUCAUAUUUACAUCCACCACCAUCCUGGUAGUACAUCCUGGUACCAUCACUCUAUGUAAAAAAAAUCUGUCUCAUUCAUCUCCUUUGUACUUUCCCCAAUUCAUCUUAAAUGAAUGCUCUCUAGUAUUAGAUUUGGAUGCUUUGUCCCAGUUAACAUUACAAUGAAAGGGUCUAUUGAUCAAUCACAGUUUCUUGAUCAUUGAUUACAAGUUCAACACUGUAUAAAUACCACAUUUCUGGACAUGGUUUUUCCUUAGUAUAAGAAAAGGGCAGUCAUCCCAAUGCAAUAGGUCUUUAGAUAAUAAAUCCAAUUUAUUCCUGUCGACAUGCUCAGAGAUGGAGUUGGAACUCCUGAAAGACAUUCCAAUUAAUGCUUUUGUUCAGAAGCAAAUUGAAGUCUGUGCAUGGGGUCAAACCCAUUCCAGUCCAGCACUGGAAUCAACUUGAACUGUUGACUCCAGAGGAAUUCAGUUGCUUUGGGUGGUGGAACAGACUAAGCAACAUUGCUUUCCAUUUUAAAGCAUCAUAGCCCAAACCGAAAGACCAUUUCUCUUCUCAUUGCUGCCAUCAGAGAGGAGGUACAGGAGCCUGAAGACACACACUCAGUGUUUUAGGAACAGCUUCUUCCCCACCGCCAUCAGAUUUCUGAACAGCCCAUGAACACUACGUCAUUAUUUUUCUCUCCUUUUGUGCCCUUAGAAUUUUAAAUCUGCACCUCCAGUCCUUUGAUGAUAUACUCAAGAUUCAAAAUUGUUUAUUGUCAUUCGUCAGUACACAAGUGUAAAGGAGAACAAAAUUAUUGUUACUCUGGAUCCAAUGCAGCAUCAACAAAAAAAAACAAGCAUAAGGAACACAAUGAAAAACACACUUUGCAGAUUCAGAAAUAUUCCAAUAGGAUCUGGUGUGUCACCAAAGACUCCAGCGAAUCUCUACAGAUGUGCCAUACAGAGCAUUCUAACUGGUUGCAUCACCGUUGCACAGGGUUGGAAAAAGCUGCAGUAAAUUGCAACAACACACACAAAAUACUGGUGGAACACAACAGGCCAGGCAGCAUCUAUAAAGAGAAGCACUGUCGACGUGUCGGGCCGAGACCCUUCGUGAGGACUCAUUAAGUUGCAUUAAAUCAAAGUCAAUAAAUUGCAAACUCAGCCAGCUCCAUCAUGAGCACUGGCCUCCCCAAUAACAUCAAGGAGAUCUUCAAAACAUGAUGCCUCAAAAAGGCAGCAAGAAAUAUUAAAAAACCCCAUCACCCAAGACAUGCCCUCUUCUCAUUGCUAAUGUACAGGAGCCUGAAGACACACACUCAAUGUUUUAGGAAUAGUUUCUUCCCCUCCAUUGUCAGAUUUCCGAAUGGACAAUGAACCAACCCAUGAGCACUUCACUAUUUUUGCUAUUUCCACUAUUUAUUUAAUUAAAUGUAUUUCUUAUCCUCAUUUAUAGUUUGUUUUUUAUAUAUUGUGCUGCACUGCUGCAACAAAAAAACUGUGGACUGAAGGAGACAGGGAGAGGGGAAUCAUGGUUGGGAAAAGGGGAAGGGAGAGGGAAGGGAAAGGGAGUGGGAAGCACCAGAGACAUUCUGUAAUGAUCAAUAAACCAGUUGUUUGUAAUCGAGUAACCUUGCCUGGUAUCUCAGAGCUGGGCACAUUGCACUUGCACUACCCCUCACCCCCCCCCCCCCCACACACCCUAGCACUCCUUCUCUGCCAUCUGUCCCACACCCCUCUCGCGACAUCCCACCCUUGCCAUUCCCAACAUCCAUUACUCCCACCAGAUUUACAAACUCACUCUCUGCUCCAUGUUGGGCACUCAGUCACCCUAGUUAUAUAUACAGUAGCAAAGUACUGUAUUAAACCUGAUUCUGAUCUUUAAUAAACAAAAACAUCAAGCAUUUAAAUUCUUUUAUGCUACAGAAUAAUGAUAGAGAGAAUUUGGAUCCAUCAGCACCUGUUUCUCAUGUAUAAAUUGCACUUAAAAAUUAAUUUUGCCUGAGUUAGAUAAAAGUUAUUGAACUAUUUCUGGGCAAAAUUAUGUCCAGUGGGAGCAGGCAUUCCCAGGUGGAAUUUACCUUAGUACAGCUGGUACUUGUGAUGCAGCAAAUGUUGCACAACAUACUUAAUGAAGUAAAUCAAAGCUCAUAGGUGCAAACCAAGAUCUUCACUAAAAAUCCAAUAAAAAGCUCUACUGAGAUCAGUUUUGUUCUAAUAUCUAUAUGCUGCAUACUCUUACAAUGUUAGAAAUCCGAUGACUGAUUGCUACAUCCAUUUUGCUGCCUUAUUAUAGAACCCACUUAUGAUCUUAGAUCUCAAGUAAUGAUGAGUUGGCAUACAGGAAAGAGAUAUAGAGCCUGGCAACAUGACAACAACCUUCCCCUCACUGUCAGCAAAACAAGAUCUGUUCAUUGACUUCAUGAGGGGUACAAUGCACACAAUACAUCAAUAGUGCUGAAGUAGAGAUGGUUGAGUGGGUCACGUUCCUGGGAGUAAACAUCACCAAGAGCAUGCCCUGCUUCCGCAGCAUAGGUACCGCGGCCAAGAAAGCGCACUAGCGCCUCGACUCCCUCAGCUCAAAACAUUUUCCUUGACCUUCACCAAUUUUUGUUGGCACAUUACGGAAAGCAUCCUAUCUUAAUACACAAGAUGCUGGAGGAUGCUGCCCGAUCUGCUGAACUCCUCCAGUGUUUUGUUUAUGCUGUCAACAUCUCUGAGAAUCUAUCCAUGACUCAGCAUAUCAAUAGUUACAAAGAAGGUGUGACAGCAGGUAUAUUUCAUUAAGAGUUUGAGGACAUUUGGUUACAUCAGCCAAAGACACUCGCAAAUAUCUACAGAUGUACUGUGGAGAGUAUUUUAACCAGCUGCAUCAAGUCUGGUGGGCCACGGGAGCACUGGAUAGGAUUGAAAUAAGCUGCAGAAACUUGCAAACUCAGUCAGCUGCACCUUGGGCAAUAGCCUGUCCAGCAUCCAGGAAAUCUGCAAGGAGCAAUGCCUCAAAAAGGUGGCAUCCAUCAUUAAGGACCUGCAUCACCCAGGACAUGGCCUAUUCUCAUUGACACCAUCAGGGAAGAGGUUCAAGAGCCUGAAGGCACACACUUAACAAUUCAGGAACAGCUUCUUCCAUUCUGCUAUCAGCUUUCUGAAUGGACAUUGAACUCAUGAACACUGCCUUACUGCUUUUUUUUCUCUUUUUGCACUAUUUAUUAAAUUUAACUUUUAAAAUAUAGACAUAUGUACUCAGUGUAAUUUACAGUUUUUACUAUUAAGUAAUACAAUGUACUGCCGCAUAACAACAGAUCUCAUGAUAUGCAGUAUGCCGGUGAUAGCAAACCUGAUUUUGAUUCCUAGAGUAGGUUAAAGGGUUGGCACAACAUUAUGGGCUGAAGGGCUUCUACUGUGCUAUACUCUAAACACAAGAUAUCCUGCAGAUGCCGUAAAUCCAGAGUAACACACACAAAAUGCUGACAGAACUCAGCAGGUCAGGCAGCAUCUAUGGAAAGAAAUAAACAAUCAACAUUUCAGGCCAAGACACUUCAUCAAGACCCUUCAUCUGUGCUGUAUUGUUCUAUAGAGUCACCGAGAAGUACAACACAGAGACAGACCCUUUGGCCCACUGCCUACUCCCGCUGACCUGCAUGGAGACCAAAGCCCUGCAUGCCCCUACUAUCCACAUACCUAUUCAAACUUCCCAUAAGUGUUGAAAUCAAGCUUGCAUGCACCACUUGUACUGGCUGCUCAUUCCACCCUCUGAGUGAAGAAGUUUCCCCUCCUGUCCCUCUUAAACUUCCCACCGUUCACCCUUAACCCAUGACCUCUGGUUGUAGUCCUAACCAACCUACUUGCAUUUCCCAUAAUUUUGUAUACCUCUAUCAAAUCUCCUCUCAAUCAUCUAUAUUUUAAAGAAUACAGUCUUAACCUAUUCAAUCUUUCCUUAGAACUCAGGUCCUCCAGACCUGGCAAUAUACUUGUAAAUUUUCUCUACACUCUUUCAACCUUGUUUACCUCUUUCCUGUAAGUAGGUGGCCAAAACUGCACACAACACUCCAAAUUAGGCCUCACCGAUGUCUUAUACAACUUCAAUAUAAUGACCAUCUCCUGUACUCAAUAGACUGAUUUAUGAAGGCCAAUGUGCCAAAAGCUUUCCUUACUAUCCUUGAUGCCACCUUCAAUGAAUUAUGGACCUGUAUUCCCAGAUCCCUUUGUUCUACCACACUCCUCAGUGCCCUACGGUUCACUUUGGAAGACCUACCCUGGUUGAUUCUAUCAAACUGCAAAACCUCGCACUUGUCUGCAUUAAAUUCUAUCCGCCAUUUUCGGCCCAUUUUUCCAGCAGGUGCAUAUCUCUGCAAGCGAUGAUAACCUUCCUCACUGACCACUACACCCCCAAUCUUGGAAUCAUCUGUAAAUUUGCUGAUCCAGUUAACCAUAUUAUCAUUCAGAUCACUGACAUAGAUGACAAACAAAAGACCCAGCACCAAUCCCAGUCACUCACCACAAGUCACAGACCUCCAGUUAGAGAGGUAACCCUCUACUAUCACUCUCUGGCUUCUCCCACAAAACCAAUGGCAAAUCCAAUUAACUACCUGAUCCUGAAUGCCAAGCUACUGAAGCUUCUUGUCCUGCCUUCUAUGUGGGACCUUGUCAAAUGCCUUACUAAAGUCCACGUAGACAACAUCCACUGUCUCGCCUUCAUCCACUUUCCUGGUAACUUGCUCGAAAAACUCCAUGAGAUUGGUCGGUUGUGACCUAUCACACAUGAAGUCAUGCUGACUAUCCUUAAUUAGUCCGCAUCUAUCCAAAUACUUAUAUAUCUGGUGCCUUAGAAUACCUUCCAAUAACUUUUGCACAACUGAUAUCAGACUCGCCAGCCUAUGAUUUUUUGGUUUACAUUGCCUUUUUAAACAGCGGAACAACAUUAGCUAUCCUCCAAUUUACUGGUACCUCUUCUAUCACUAAGAAUGAUUUAAAUAUCUCUGCUAGGGUCCCAACUAUUUCUGCACUUGCCUGCCACAGAAACCAAGGCAACACUUUGUCAGGCCCUGGGAUUUAUCCACCCUAAUUUGUCUCAGGGUAGUUGUUACGUCCGUGGCCCCCUCCUUUUUGAGAAUUGCAAGAUCACUAUUAAGUCAGUUCAGGAGACCCAGGAAAUGAGAAAGACAUGCAGAAUCCACAAAGAGUUUGGAAUGUGUCCUGGCCUGCGAAAGGCGGAACCAUUGAUAACGGCUAUUGUCUCUUGGAGACUGAAUUGUGUAUUGAAUCCUGUACGAUGCAUCGAAGCCCCCCAGGCAAUGAACCCGGGGGGGUUGGUGGAGGGAUUGCAUCAUCCCAAACUGAUUGACAUCUGAGACCCUGUGAGUCAGGAUAAAAGAGGGUCUGGGGAAUAGCCCCUUCAGAUGCACCAGAAGAAAUGCUAGAACUCCUGUAACAGCGUAACAGCGAAAGCCGGUGGGAAAGCCCACUUGUGUCCUUUUCCAUUUGCCUUGGAAUUGGUGGGGCCUUUACCACAGAAGCAUGGCUUUAGCUAACCACAAAGGGGAAAUCAGUCCCCAACAACUCUUGAAGGAUUGACAUCAUAAAAGGAAUGGGCAAGUUAAACCUCCGUCUUUCUCUCCAACCAAAAAGCUGCAGCUUGAAUGAACUUGAGUGACUUUUACAUUUCCAUCGGACAAUACAUUAUCCCCUAGACAACGAUAGAGGUAUUUCUUAUUGAUUAUUAUUAUACCCUCGCUUUUAGAUUUAGUAUUGAUGACGUAUAUUAUCUGUAUGUUUGCAUUGAUAUUAUCUUUGUGUAUUUUUAUCAAUAAAUACUGUUAAAAAUAGUACCAUCAGACUUCAACGGACCUCUCUAUCUUUGCUGGUAAGUGACCCAGUUAUGGGGUAUGUAACAGUAGGAAACACUUCCACCUCUGUAAUCUGUACAGGGUCCGUGAAGUUGACGCCGC